UGGGAAUUUUGGACGAAUUGGGCGAAAGCCUGAUCCAGCAAUGCCGCGUGUGUGAAGAAGGCCUUCGGGUUGUAAAGCACUUUUUGUCCGGAAAGAAAUCCUUGGCUCUAAUACAGUCGGGGGAUGACGGUACCGGAAGAAUAAGCACCGGCUAACUACGUGCCAGCAGCCGCGGUAAUACGUAGGGUGCAAGCGUUAAUCGGAAUUACUGGGCGUAAAGCGUGCGCAGGCGGUUUGCUAAGACCGAUGUGAAAUCCCCGGGCUCAACCUGGGAACUGAUUGGUGANUGGCAGGCUAGAGUAUGGCAGAGGGGGGUGAGAAUUCCACGUGUAGCAGUGAAAUGCGUAGAGAUGUGGAGGAAUACCGAUGGCGAAGGCAGCCCCUGGGCCAAGUACUGACGCUCAUGCACGAAAGCGUGGGGAGCAAACA
rnacentral:rRNA from 1 species